CCCUUGGUUAAGAUUAAGGUUUUUAUGAAUAUAAAAAGAAACACCGACUUCUGGCUUGAGGGGGUUGACUACGGAUUAUCUCCUUAUUUUUCUAGUGUUUGGGGAGUGAAAUAAUGCCUUACAUCGUCAGCUAGGUCUUACUAUGAAAAGCAUACAUCAGCAAAUUCAGUUGUUUUAUUACAUAAUUCUCCCUUAAGUUUG
rnacentral:lncRNA from 1 species